CCUACGGGAGGCAGCAGUGAGGAAUAUUGGUCAAUGGACGCAAGUCUGAACCAGCCAUGCCGCGUGCAGGAAGACGGCCCUAUGAGUUGUAAACUGCUUUUGUACGAGGGUAAACGCAGAUACGCGUAUCUGUCUGAAAGUAUCGUACGAAUAAGGAUCGGCUAACUCCGUGCCAGCAGCCGCGGUAAUACGGAGGAUUCAAGCGUUAUCCGGAUUUAUUGGGUUUAAAGGGUGCGUAGGCGGGCGGAUAAGAUAGAGGUGAAAUCCUGGGGCUCAACUUCGGAAUUGCCUCUGAUACUGUUCGGCUUGAGAGUAGUUGCGGUAGGCGGAAUGUAUGGUGUAGCGGUGAAAUGCUUAGAGAUCAUACAGAACACCGAUUGCGAAGGCAGCUUACCAAGCUACUUCUGACGUUGAGGCACGAAAGCGUGGGGAGCAAACAGGAUUAGAUACCCUGGUAGUC
rnacentral:rRNA from 1 species